UUGAACGCUGGCGGCGUGCUUAACACAUGCAAGUCGAACGAGAAAGGGACUUCGGUCCUGAGUAGAGUGGCGCACUGGUGAGUAACGCGUAGGUAAUCUACCUCUGCAUCUGGGAUAACACUUCGAAAGGGGUGCUAAUACCGGAUACACUUAUGGGUCGCAAGACCUAUAAGGAAAGGAGACCUCUCCUUGGAAGUUUCUGUGUAGAGAUGAGCCUGCGUCCCAUUAGCUAGUUGGCAGGGUAAUGGCCUACCAAGGCGACGAUGGGUAGCGGGUCUGAGAGGAUGAUCCGCCACACUGUAACUGAAACACGGACCAGACUCCUACGGGAGGCAGCAGUGAGGAAUAUUGGACAAUGGGCGCAAGCCUGAUCCAGCGACGCCGCGUGAGUGAUGAAGGCCUUUGGGUCGUAAAGCUCUGUCAGCAGGGAAGAGCAAGGACUGUACCUCAUGAAUAAGGAUCGGCUAACUACGU
rnacentral:rRNA from 1 species